UCAUUGUGUUUGGUGCUAUACAGUGACAUCCUGGCCAUCUGAUGUCCUCUCAGCAAUGUGUCUGAGCUUGGGAAGUAGAGGCAUGGAGCCCCUGACUGUUCACACAUGGAUGGCUGCAGCUACUCAGGAGGCCCUGGAACACGCUGAGACUGGCAUACCUGACCCACAUGCAGCCAAGAAGUGGAUGGUUCUUAUGCUUGUAGCCUUUGGAGGAAUCAUACAAGAAACAGCACAGAGAAUGAUCCUGGGCUCAGCAACCUCUUAGAAUUUAUCACAGUCUGCAGAUGCAUCUGAACCAUCCUAGAGAACACAGAAAGAGUCACCAUUUCAGUUUAUGGACCCAAGGAAACAACCAGCAGGUGGCGGAGAAGCAUGGCUCCCUCCUGUGUCUGCAGCGAAGAACCUUGCAGAGCAACUGCGGAGAGGCUGCAGAGCUGUGAAGGCGAGCCUGGCCCCCGAGCCCAAGCAAGAAAUGACCCGCCAGAGUCCUGUCUUUCGUUUGUGCUCUUGAAGCCAACUUGUCCUUCUGAACGCUGGCUUCCUGCUAAAGCUCAUUCAGCUACGUGCAGGUGCACUUCUGGACUACGGGGUUCCCCAAGCCUCUCCCACCUUCCGGCUGACCUGUUUAUUCCGGAGCAGGUUCUUUCUGCUCACCUCUCUCUCGUGCGGAGUCCAUCUUCCUUCUACCUUCAUUAAAAAUUCAAUAUCAAACAUUAUAAAAUAAUGCCAUGGCCUUCGGGAGGGUGCCUGCCGCCCCCUCCCCCCCCUUUCCUUACACCUGAUUUGUGGUCAAAUGAGAUUGUUAUAAAAGGGCUCUGAGCCAGACUAACGACAUCAAAUAAAUGCUUGCAUGGGUAACCAAAA
rnacentral:sRNA from 1 species